UUCCAGCCUGUGUCAUUGAUUUGCACUUCAGUGAAAUGCCACUGUGUUCCACUUAAGUUUUGAAUGUUCUGUUUACUUGGAUUCACCUCUAACCACAUUGCAGUGAAAAAGAAAUUCUUCCAUGGGCUAAGAGGAAGGGCACAGGGAGAAGCAGCUGGGACACACCAGACCUUACAUGGCUGCUCUGCAGAGCUGCAUGGGUUUCACAGUACCUGGCAACCUUUUGGUGGACUCCUGGUGGCCAACUCUGCUUUAGAGGUGGACUCUUCUAGAGUGUCAGCAAAUCUCCCUUUUUAGGUAAGCUGUGCCCUUCUUUGCAAUGCUUGAUUUAAAAAGAAAUUGACUUUUUAAACAUAAGCCCCUCCAGGGCUUCCUGGUGCUCAAUCCGUCCUUCUCUUCUGUGCGUUGCUGGGGAGUUGUGCAGGGAAGAAGACUUGUGCACUGUCAACAUCUGUGUGAGGAUGGAGGAAUUGUGACUGGAAAGCAGCAGGACAAAGAGAAGAAGGACAUCUAUGACAAGAAAAUUGGGCAAAAUGAAAGUCAGGAGCUGUCUGCUGCACCAUGCGUCCCUGUUAGAACACUGGCAAGCAUUUUCAAAUCAAUUGCAAGCAUUCCUGUAGAGACAAUUAUGGGUAUUUGCUUGCAGACCAGUCACCCACUGCAUGAACAUUGCAGUGAGAGGCCUCAUUUGGGAGCCAAGAGUCAUCUUCUGCCUGCUUCUUCCAGCUACACCACUGCACAUGAGAUAAACCAGCACAACCAUCAGCAUAGUGUCUUGGCUGGAAAUCAUUAAAACAUUGAAAGAGCACCUUCAUUUGAAUGCCAACAUUUUUCAAGGGCUCUAAUCUUUCAACAAAAAUUAGCUUGUGCUACCUUGUGUUUGUGUUAGACUGUGGGAGAUGUGUUCCCUCAAAAAAAUUAUUUUUUUAUAUUUUAGUACCUGAUGCAGAGAGUAUAGUGCUUUUUGUCUGUGGGAUGAUGGACACAUGGCACAGGCACCCAGAGCAUGACCCUUGGGAGGAACAUCAAAGGUGAUCAGAUUGAAAUGAGGGCAACUCUGAUCCCUUUGCUGAAACUUUUGACUUUCAGUAAGACAAAAUAACUGACUUUGUGACUCUAUGUCCUAUUAAUGAAGUACCUUCACCACUAAAAGCAUUUGUUUGUUUUUAUUAAAAAGUGCUACAAAAAUGUUUUGAAAUUAUAGUCUUAUCAGUUAUCCAUUGCAAGUCAAGUUUUCCAAACUAUAUGGUUUAGAUAAGGAGUAGAGGAAGAGAUGACUCAGUACUCAUCUAUAAAUGAUUCCAUGGGUGAUAAGAAAAAAAAAAAAGCCAUAUUACAUCUCUAAACUACCUGGAAACAGAAGACAGGGUGUUGAAAACAAAUUAACCCAGAUUAAAUAUAAAGCAUGCCCUUCCUAAUAUUUAUUGACUGGUAGGAAAAAUUUAACUGUACAGACUCUUCAAGAGAUUAAAGAGAUUUCUGAAGUCUUUAUCUGUUUGUAAGAGAUUCCUCCACAGCUGAGACUGAAUUAUCAGGCUUAUUCCUGUGGUAAAUGGGCAGUAUUUUUCACCUCUGUUUUGCAGAUCCAGUUAUACAAUUACAUGUGGUUUCCUAAGACUUGAAACAUGUGAUACUAUGAUAAAGAAUGUCUGUUCAAUAUCUCAUUUGUAUCAGUGUUAUUUUGGCUUUAAUACAGUAACAAAUCAUCCUGUGCGCAUCAAUUCAUAUGCUCCUACUUUUAAAAUUUCAUAUAAGCAACAUGAAUUUAAUGAUUUAUGAACACUGAAAGACUGAAUGAUUCAACAAUAUUGAAUCAUUUACCUGAAGAAAAGCCUGUGUUCUAUCCUUUUUAUGGCAGCUACUGGAAAAUACAAUUUUUGUAGAUGCAUUUUCCCAAAGGAGUGGGAUAAAAUAGUAAUACAAAACCAGAGCAAGAUUUUUUAAAACAAAGGCUGAGGAAGGAGGGGUACAAUGAAAUUGGUGAAUGAGAUUAAGUAAAUUUAGCUCUAAUCUUACUCAGGGUCACCUCUGUACAGAAACAUACUGGCAUCACUCUCUUGGUAUAAUUAUUCUGCUACAGUUAUACUGUUAUAAACAGCUAUGUUUCCAAAGCAACCUAUCACUAUUAAUUCAAUUGAAACCAAGGAUAGAAGCACUACAAGAAUCAAUUCACAAUAUCCAGUUGUCUCUGGACACUGAAUUACUGAUUUUUUUUUCCCUAGGAAAACCAAGGAAAUAAAAGAUGGACAUAAAUCCAGUAAUAACAGGGCAAAAUUACUAUGAUUCUAUGAUCAGCUUAUGCUUCAAGCAGUCUAUUUUGAAAAGAGAAAGGAAGUCCGGAGCACUUCAUUAUCUUUGUUGACUUACUGAAAGCGUUCAGGAAGCGCCAGGUGUUAGGUCUGUCCUCACACGGAGUGCCCCAAGCAUCAGCAGGGGUUUGGUGCCCUCUUACGUUGGGUACACGCAAUCUGAGUGACUGCAAACACACUUGUGGCUGAUGGAUUGCUUGAGAAGGCUUCUCGGGAUACAAAUUGUUAGGAAAGUAAGUGCUAACUGAGAUAAGUGACUACUGAUGCUUCUAAAAGGUUAAUAACCUCUGUAAGGCAGAGAACUUACCCACAGAGGCAGUGAACUCCCAGCAACGAACAGACCCACAAACAUACUUUUGUACCCUCCCCUUCAGCUUUUAUUGAGGUGCUCAGCCUCACUGACCUGAUCUUGCAUAGCACAAACCUCACUCAGGCUUUUUCUGUUCUGGCCAAAUAUAGGUAAUACAUUUCUGACUGUGAGAACACACACACACAAAAAAAGGCUGUUGAGCAUCACAAAUCAAUCAUGAAUAAUGGGGCACUUUCACAGGUUUGCCAAUCAAGUUGUGGAUGCUCCAUCUCUGGAAGUGUUCAAGGUGGGGUUGGAUAUCUGAGCCACCUGAUAUAGUGCAAAGUUCCCUGCCCAUGGCAGAGGGGGUGGAACCAGAUGACCUUGAAGGUCUUUUCCAGCCCAAACCAUUCUAUGAUUCCGUGCAGGGAGAGGCCUAUGUGAUCUCCUGGAAACACAUCCAGUUAACAACCUGGAUACUUACCCAAAAAAAAAAAGGCUGCAAAAUUGGAGAAAUUAAAAUAGAGGGUAUUUCUAUUUCCAUUAGUUGAAUACUCCAGUGAUUACUGUUCACAUGUAAAAGCAGGCACUGAUUACCUGAAAUUACAUUUCUGGAUGGUUUUAGCAAUCACCUUAGGUUCCUCUCUUAUCUAGUUAACACUGCAGUACGUUACUUUUUUUCUUGUGCAAGUAUUUCUAAUCCAUAGAAAAUCCUUCUAGGUCUUUUAAAAACAAGACAGACUGCUAAGUAAAUCUUUUCUGAAAAUAA